rnacentral:lncRNA from 14 species
CCUGCAUCAAGGGGUGCAACACCCACAUCAAGGGGUGCAAUGUCCGUGCCUAGGGGAGCAAUGCCUGCUCCCAGAGGAGCAGCCCCCUGUCCAGGGAUGCAUCACCCACCCCUCUCACCCACCACCCUGCCAGGCUGGGGGCUCUGGGGCUCUGCUCCCCCUGCUCUCUGUUCCCCAGCUCCCUGCUCCCACCCUGGAUCCCAUUGGAAAGCUCCAUCGGUGUUUUCCACCCAAGCGUGCCCGUCUGAGGUGUGCUGGGAGCAGCACUGGGGCCCCACGCACCCCACAUCCCUGGGUCCCAGCCAACCCCAACGAUCACAACCGCCCGCCCCAGCAGUCGCACCAAGCCCCGGCCUGCCCAUAGCAGCAUGGGGGGGGAUCCAAACCAGCCCUGAACCCCAUUGCAGCCCCUUCCCAGCUGCUCCCAGUGCCCCUGCCCACGGGUGGGCAGAGCUGGAGGGGUCCCAACACACAGAGGGGCUCAGGCAGCAGCAGGGGGCACGUGGGGGGGUCGGAUCUUGCCCCUUCCCCAUGGCAUCGGGGUGCCCAGCUCAGGGCACAGCUGACCCGAGGCUAUGGCAGCCCCGGUACUCACCAGGCCGUGGCCUCCGGUCCCUCCGGUGCCCCAGCGGCUGCCGUCACCGUCACCACUCCCGGCACAACAACUUCCUGGGUGCCACCCAGGGCCCUUCCCAGCAUCACCACGAGCGGCCGGAGCCAGCACCGGCACCCGCAGCACCGGGGCACGGCCAUGCCGAGCCAGACACACCAGUGCAGCGGCACCUGCGCCCAGUGGGCACCAGCACAGGUCCUCGGCUUGCAGAAGGUGCAAAGGGGGCUCCCCACCAGCCCCCCCCCCCCGGGCAGGUGAACUGGGGACGGCUCCACGCUGCUGUGGAGCUCAGGUUGAUGCCGGAGGCUCAGCCCCAGGGUGAGCCAUGGGAUGGUUCUUGCGGCACAAGGAUGAGGACACGGAGUCCCCAUCAGAGCCGUGCGGGCAGCGUGGGGUCCCUCCCUGCCUGGCCAGCAGGGACGGCACAACCUGCUGCUCUGCAUUCCUGCGGUGCUGAGCCUCCUGCCCUGGCACAGCCGAGCUGCACCGAGCCACCCUCCAACACCCCACAGCACAGACACAUCACCCCAUGCGCCCAGCCCGGCUGGAGCGUGGGGCUCAGAACCCCACUUACACUGGAUGAUGCCCAUGGCCCCAGCUGGUGCAGGCAGCACAACCAGGCUCACCCGGCACAUGGAAUGACCCAGGCAGUGUUUCCAGGGAGCCAUGCUGGGGGAUGUGUGGUUGUGCCCCCCCACCAGGCAAUCCUGCUGGCACAGGACCCGCACCACCUCCAGCACCCACCUGGAUGGGCCCUGCGAUGUGGGAGCUGGCUCGGCACCACAGUGUUGCUGCUUGUGCUCGUCCAGGCUAUCCCGAUGUCCCUGUGGUUCCGGUCCCAGCCACGUCCUCCCCUUCUGCCCCGGGAGCUGCUCUGCACGGCGGCUGCUCCUGCUGAGUCAGUGCUGGGCGAGGACGAGCUCACAUGGGAUUAAAACCAUGGGGCAUCCUCCAUGCCAGGCUGCGUCACGCAGCGUGAUGGGACACGGUGACGUCCGGUGUGGUGCUGGUGCAGCCGCGGUGCUGGAUGGGGAUUCACGGCCUGAGGUGCUCCCAUUGCCAAAGCCAAAUCACCUCUGGCUGCUCCCUGCCUGCUGUGGGGUCCUGGUGGCCCUGGCAGGGACCCAGGGAGAUGGGAAGAUUCCCAGGCUGGCUCCCGGCCGGCACAGCCAGCCAAGGGCCUGCUCCGACAUGGAAAACUUGCCUUGUUCCUGCAUGAACCCGGCAGAGCCUCUGGAAUGAACUCCAAACCGCAGGAACACAACCGGGAGAGCGUGAAUGGAGCUGAUGGACCGGAGCGGGGUCACCAAACCUGCGGUCACAGCGCCCUGCUGGCCUGGACCCAGCCCUGGGGUGGCUCCGGGGGCCAUGGUACAGGCAUCUCCCAUGGCGAGGAGCGGAUGGAGCCAUGUGCUAUUCCAACUGCUCUUGGAAACAAGACAAGGAGCAGGCGGAGAGCAAAGAGCUGAGUGAAACACGUGGAGAACAGUGUGGGUGCCAUAGGGCUGCCCUGUGCCUGGCCAACAGCAAAGGUGCAUCCACACAGUGAUCCUGGCUGCAGACACUGCUCAGAGCCUGCCGGAUGGGCUGAGC